ensembl:lincRNA
GCCUGCCUCUCUUCUCCAAGCAGGGCUCCCAUCUCUUCAGGCUGGGCUAACAUCAUUACACACUCCUGUCAGUUGACCACAGGUAACUGAAAUGUAGGACACUGAAGACAGGAAGGAGGGUCUGCUGUAUGCAGACAUUGUGAUGUUUCUCAUAAGGCCCUCAGAGAUCUUGGGCUUUGCACUCUAUUUUUAACAAUGAGUCAUUUGCCUUGAGAUGCUGUUGGCUGUCCAAACUCAUGAUUUGGAAGAUAUCUCUCCCUGUUUUCAACAAACCAAAACAACAACAACAACAACAACAAAUCCUACAGGUAUCACAGGCAACAUCCAUGUAACUUUCACAACAUAAUUUGCUGCAAAAAUGCAGAGUGUAGUCUGUAUCCCGUCAAGUGCUGUGUGGAGCCUCUGUCAAGAUGCAUCUUUCAUGUUUCCAUAUUAAGUAAACAGUCAUUUUUAGGAGCAACAAGAACCUGCUUUGUUGAUAAUGAAAAAUGAUGCUUGACUACAUUUUAUAGAGAAAUUUUAAUCCAGCAAUAUGUCUGCUCUGGCAAGGAACCACAUCCAAAGAUCCAGGUCUGUGUGAUCUGGGUGGAACACAGACAUGACAUACACCUUUAAUCCCAAACAAUGUAGAGACUAGACGAUUUCUUAUGUCACUUUUUAUCUGCACCACCACUUUGCCUUUAAAGAAGAUGUAUCCCAAUUUUCAAGACCAGACCUUAUGUACUGUACUGAAGAUUAUCUGUUAGUGACAGCAAACUAUACCACGUCAUAGGAAAAGACUGUUUCAAAUCUCUAAAAUGUCAGGAGCAGAGAAAGUCCUGAGUCUGUGGAGUGAAUAUCUUUUGAUAAAGGUGCAGCCAUGUUAAUGACUUCAAAUUGUUGGGCUCAGAGAGAUGGCAAAGCCUUCCAAGGGAACUGAAGGGCUGGAUUCCCAAAAGGUUUGGAGUGAUGUUCUUCUGGUAAAUUUACAUAAUAAGCUGCUGCAGAUUGGACUCAAUACAGAUUAAACAAUGCCAAAUGCAAUGGGCCAGAGAGAUGGUUCAAUGAUUAGAAAUGUGUACUACUUUUGCCCAAGACCUGAGAUGGCUUCCCAGCACCUACAUUACAGCGUUGAUCAUUGCCUCUGACCACAGCUGCAGUAGAUCGGGCAUCCUUUUCUGUCCUCUGUGGGCAUGCGUGCUAUGUGCACAUACACAAAGACACACACAAAACGUGCAUAAAUAUUACAAAAAAGACAAUAAACCUUUUAUAAAAUGAAGUACUUUUUGGAACUUAACUCUUUAAAACAAGUAAUGUUGUAUGAAGUGUUGCUGUUUCUGUAAUUCUUAAAGUUCAAAAAGGUGAUUGUAAUUUCACUGUUUGAAUCUCUCAUGCAAAACUGCUGUGUGAAGUGCACAAUAAAGUCCAUCUUAAGGGAUAAUCCAAAUAUGCAUUUUAUUAAAGAAAUAAUCUAU